rnacentral:rRNA from 1 species
AUUGAACGCUGGCGGCAUGCCUUACACAUGCAAGUCGAACGGUAACGCGGGGCAACCUGGCGACGAGUGGCGAACGGGUGAGUAAUGUAUCGGAACGUGCCCAGUUGUGGGGGAUAACUGCUCGAAAGAGCAGCUAAUACCGCAUACGACCUGAGGGUGAAAGCGGGGGAGCGCAAGACCCCGCGCAAUUAGAGCGGCCGAUAUCAGAUUAGGUAGUUGGUGGGGUAAAGGCCCACCAAGCCAACGAUCUGUAGCUGGUCUGAGAGGACGACCAGCCACACUGGGACUGAGACACGGCCCAGACUCCUACGGGAGGCAGCAGUGGGGAAUUUUGGACAAUGGACGCAAGUCUGAUCCAGCCAUGCCGCGUGCGGGAAGAAGGCCUUCGGGUUGUAAACCGCUUUUGUCAGGGAAGAAAAGGGCGACCUUAAUACAGUUGCCUCAUGACGGUACCUGAAGAAUAAGCACCGGCUAACUACGUGCCAGCCGCCGCGGUAACAC